rnacentral:lncRNA from 1 species
AUGAUGGCUGACGUGGGCACCAAGGAAUUAAUGGCAAAGUUGGAACUGCAAGAGACAAGCAGGGAGCCAGAAGUGGAGGCAGCAGGGACAGUAAAAAGAGCCUCAUCCACCUUGAAGUUCCUGAUUAGCCUUCUCAUUUUGCUGCCUUUCCUGCUCACUGAAACAACUGUUUCUCUAUGUAGUCCAACACACAAGUUUGAACACCAGGAAGAAGACAAACUUAUUGGAUGGAGAUACCAGAGUCUUUCUAUUGUUUCUUAUGGCUUGAACAUACUAGAACUUCCAUGUGUUCCUGAAAUAAUUUGCUCAGAUUUCUCUGUCUGGAGUGCCUCUGAACAGAGCAGCGAGAUACCUAUGUUCAGAUGGUGCCCUGUGUAAGGGCUCAGAGCUGAAGAGUCAAGGGAGGGCUGGCAUCUCACAUAGAGCCUACACUCUGGGCACCUUGCAUGGAGCAGCACUGCCUUUGAGGUAGGGCCUUUUUAAAAUUUGAACAAAGGAUCCUAAAACUAGCUGCUCUGCAGCCCCACUCCCCCAGCUGCCUAAAUCCUGUCCAUCCAUCAAGGCCCAAAUCUAGAUCACUCCUCAGCCUUGCUACAGUGCAGAAUCAUCUGUUCCUUCAUUAGCUUUCUCAGAGCUCCUUAUUUACAACUCAUUUACAAUUCUUAUCACAGCCGAAAUUGUUUUAUGUACUUUGAGGGCAUACGAUACUAGGUUGACAGUUAUGUACUGCUUGAAGGUAACAGUCCCUGUCUUUUCUGGCUUCCAAUAGUAUUGUGGGAUGCUAAGGUCAUUCUAAUUGCUCUUUCUUCAAGGAAUGUGUCUUUUCUCUCUAGGUGCUUGUAAGAUUCUCUAUUUUUAUAUUCAUAGUUUCAUUUUGAUGGGAUUAUUUGCAGGUUUCCUUUUAUUUAUUCUACUUGUUUUUAAAUUUUAAUUCCUGAUGUUUGGAAAAUCCUCAGCUAGUAUCUCUUUGAACACUGACCUUUCAUCAUUCUCUGUAUAAUCUCCUUCUAGAUUUCCAAAUAGAUAUAUGUGAGACUUUUUUACUUUUUUCCCCAUAUGCUUUAACCAUUUAAAGAAUAUUUCCAUUGUUUUAUAUCUCUGGAUUGCUUUUGGAAUAUUUACUUCCAUAUUCUAGUUCACUAAUCUGUACUUAGGUGUUUCUGUGCCUAAUUCAGACCAAUUUACUUGCUUCUUGAGCAUGCAGGUCAAGAAGCAGCAGUUAGAACUGGACAUGGAACAACAGGUUCCAAAUUGGGAAAGGAGUACA